AUCGAGUCGAGCGACUGCGAGAGAACGAUCUGCGCCGAGUGACGACAGAACGGUCGAGUGACGACAAAACGAUCGAACGACGACAGAAUGGGCUCCAGUUUAAUCUUCGUCGAAGAUACUUCCCCAUACCCCACGGUGGGCGCCAACUGUUUGAACCGAGCCUGUCGAUAAUUUAGUAAAGAGAAAGGACGAGUUCUCUUCGGUUGGUCAAGACAAAGACGUAUUUUAUUAGAUCAACGAGUCGAAUCAAUGUUACAAAAGGGGGAGAGGACAAAGGAAUUAGUCCGGCGAAAGCUGGUUCGUCGGACCGUACAAGCCGGCGAGAAGUAAGAUAUUAAACCCUAGAUCUAGCCGAAAGUGAGUGUAAUAGUUUGCGGAUCCCUUCCUUGUUUCCUUUUUUCCUCUUUUUAUAGACACAUGCUCGUUAACCUAAUGUGCUAUGUCCUGACGGGCCUCCUCGAGUGGUUGGACCGAGGUGUCGGGCCGCUGACUCGAGUCAUCGAGCCGACGACUUUCGGUUGGUCGUCUCGCCGAUCAAA
rnacentral:lncRNA from 1 species